AAAUAUCAACAGCCUCAGAUUUAGAGUGGUAUUAUCUGCAUAUCUGAGACUGUUGAUAUUUCU
rnacentral:pre_miRNA from 1 species